ACCACUCUUAAUUUCUCUCUGUCUCGUUUACACAUCUCUCCAACCUUUCACUUUCGUUUCUCAGUUUUAUUCGAAUCCCUCUCUCAAUCUCCUUUCCAAAUGGCCAGCGUUGAGGUAAUUCAAAGACACAGUUUCGUUGUUUAUAAUUUUGCCUCAGCUGGUUUUGUACAUUCCUUUAUUACUCCAACGUGUGUAGCAGUGGUAGUACUUUAUAUGGUUCCUACGUGCACACGGUGAAACUCAACACUUUAGUAACUAACUGUAUAUAUACAACUGUUUCUUCACUUUCUUACUUUCUUUGUUGUGAUUCAUUAUCGAUCAAAGAACCAGUUUGGUUUUUUAUUACGUGCGAACGUACGAUCUAGCAAGUUAUGUAUGCGAUGGUACUAGCUAGUCUUAAUAUACCGCACUUUGAUUUUAAUUUCUUUUUGGUUUCUCCCGAUCUAUCUUUGUUUUUGUUGCUGCGGUGUUUGAUAACCAUCAUUAUAUACGAAGCAUAAAUUAUAUAUUACUGCGGUCAACCACUUAAACUACACGAGAUUUGAGGGGAUCAACUUGUUUCAUAGCUUUCUUAAUUGAUCAUUGAUUAAUUGAAUAUAUAUAAAUCACGAACCAUUUUCCAGUUGAUGAUCAACAUCUGAAAUAUUCAUCGGUGUGUGGAAUUGGAUUGUGAUUAGCAGUUCUAUGUGGACCUAGUUUUUUGUUUUUGUUUAUAUAAUCACAGUUGCAUCAUCAGAAACAAAAAACAUUGAUCAAUUUAUUACGUAAGCUUUUUUUCUUGUUUUUUUUUCGCUAAAUAGGCUAUUGUUAAUUUCUUUAAAGCUCAAAAACCAACAUAUCCCAGCUAGUUGUAGAAGCUAAUUAACUCCCCCGUAGCCACGUUGAACUUCUUCAAGCUUAAAACUUAAAAGAAAAGGAGAACAAUUAAUUAUAUCACCAAGUUGACACUUUAAUUUAUAAGUCCUAUUAAUUUCAUAGUAGUAUUAAACAAUUUACGUUUAUCUUAUAAGUAAUGAGUUUUGUACUGCACCCCAUUUAUCUUAAUAUCUCAUGAACUAUUUCUCUUUAUUUUUUUAUUCCUAUCACAUUUCUUUAUUUUAUCUCACCUUCUAAGUGUCAAAUAGGUUUUUAUUGGGUGUGCAAAAGUCAUUUUAGUUAUCUUAUAACACAUUGUGCUAGUGCUGAUCAUGUGAUGUUUCACUUGUGUGUCUCUAUAGUCUAUACCAUCAAGUUAUUUGUUUCUCAUGUUUACAAAUCCACCUUUGUUUAAGCUUGGCACUAGAAGACUUUGUUAAAUAAAAUUAGAAAUCUCACAGGUUGCACAGCAAACACCAACAACAGUUCCAGAAAAUGAAACAACCGAGGUAAGCAAGACCCAGGAAACAACCCCAGUCACUGAGGCUCCUGCAACAGAACAACCAGCAGCUGAGGUUCCUGCAACAGAACAACCAGCCGCUGAGGCUCCUGCCCCAGAAUCAACCACCGAAGCACCAAAGGAAGAAACCACCGAGGCACCAACAGAAACAGUAGAAAAAACAACUACAGAAGUAGCCCCAGAGGAGCCUAAAGAAGUUCCAGUUGAGACCGAGGAGGUGGUGGCAAAGGAGACAGAGGAAGAGAAGCCAGCAGAAGAGAAAUCAGAGGAGAAAACUGAAGAAGUGAAAGAAGAAGCAGAGGAGCCUAAAGAAACUACUGAAACAGAAUCAGCAGCAGCAGCACCACCAGCAACCACAGAGGAAGAGAACAAACCAGCUGAGUCAGUUGAAACCCCAGUAGAGGUUCCUGUUGAGAAGACUGAAGCUUAGACCUAUGGACAGUGUGAGUGAGAAAAACAAGUUUAAAAAUGG
rnacentral:lncRNA from 1 species